AACGAACGCUGGCGGCAUGCCUAACACAUGCAAGUCGAACGAACCCUUCGGGGUUAGUGGCGCACGGGUGCGUAACGCGUGGGAAUCUGCCCUUUGCUUCGGAAUAACAGUUAGAAAUGACUGCUAAUACCGGAUGAUGUCUUCGGACCAAAGAUUUAUCGGCAAGGGAUGAGCCCGCGUAGGAUUAGGUAGUUGGUGGGGUAAAGGCCUACCAAGCCGACGAUCCUUAGCUGGUCUGGGAGGAUGAUCAGCCACACUGGGACUGAGACACGGUCCAUACUCCGACGGGAGGCAGAAGUGGGGAAGAUUGGACAAUGGGCGCAAGCCUGAUCCAGCAAUGCCGCGUGAGUGAUGAAGGCCUUCGGGUCGUAAAGCUCUUUUACCAGGGAUGAUAAUGACAGUACCUGGAGAAUAAGCUCCGGCUAACUCCGUGCCAGCAGCCGCCGUAACAC
rnacentral:rRNA from 1 species